AUGACAGGGAUACAGAGAUGUCCCUCAGGAGGUGACAAGGACACGGGGUGUCCCCAGGAGGUGACAGGACAUGGAGAUGUCACCAUGGAGGUGACAAGGACAUGGGGAUGUCCCUCAGGAGGUGACAAGGACACGGGCAUCGCUCUGGGCCUGCUGGGGACAUCCUUUGUCACAUUCCCAUUUUUUCCCUUUUCCUUCUUUGUCCUCCUUUACCCCAUUUCCCCCUUUUCUCUCCCUUAUUCCUCCUUUUCCUGUUUCCUCCUUUUCCCCUUUCCCCUUUUCCCUUUCCCUUUCUCUUUCCCUUUCCCUUUCCCCUUUCCCUUUCCCUUUCCCUUUUUUUUCCCCUUUUCCCUUUCCCCUUUUCCCUUUCCUUUCCCCUUUCCCUUUCCCUUCCUUUCCCUUUCCCUUUCCCUUUCCCUUUCCCUUCCCCUUUUCCCUUUUCCCUUUUCCCUUUUCCCUUUCCCUUUUCCCCUUUACUUUUCCCCUUUCUGUUUUCCCUUUUGUCUUUUCCUUUUCCCUCAUUUCGCUCUUUCCCCCUUUCCCCCCUUCUCCCCCUUUCUCCCCUUUCCCCUUUCCCUUUUCCCCUCCUUUUCCCCCUUUCCCUUUCCCCUUUUUCCCCUCUUUCCCCUUUUUCCCCUUUUCCCCUUCUUCCCCUUUCCCUCCUUUUCCCCCUUUCCCUUUCCCCUUUUUCCCUUUUUUCCCCUUUUCCCCUUUUUCACCUUUUCCCUCCUUUUCCCCAUUUCCCCUUUCCCCUUUCCCUUUCCCUUUCCCUUUCCCUUUUCCCCCUUUUCUCCUUUUCCCUUUUCCCCUUUUUCCCUAUUUCCCCUUUUUUUUUCCAUUUCCCCUUUUCCCCCUUUCCCCUUUCCCUUUUUCCCCUUUACUUUUUUUUCCCCUUUUUUCCCCCUUUCCCCCCUUCCCCCCUUUUCCCCCUUUUCCCUUUUCCCCCUUUUCUCCUUUUCCCUUUUUUCCCCUUUUCCCCUUUUUCACCUUUUCCCCCCUUUUCCCCAUUUUCCCUUUCCCUUUCCCUUUCCCUUUCCCUUUCCCUUUCCCUUUCCCUUUCCCCUUUUCCCCCUUUUGUCCUUUUCCCUUUUCCCCCUUUUGUCCUUUUCCCUUUUCCCCCUUCCCUUUUUCCCCUUUCCUUUUUUCCCCCCUUUUACCCCUUUCCCCUUUCCCCCUUUCCCCCCUUUUCCCUUUUCCCCCUUUCCCUUUUUCCCCCCCUUUUUCCCCUUUUCCCCCCUUUUUUCCCUUUUCCCCCUUUUUCCCCUUUUCCCCCUUUUUCCCCAUUUCCCCUUUCCCCUUUUCUUUCCCCUUUUCCCCCUUUCCCCUUUUUUUCUUUCCCCUUUCCCCUUUCCCUUUUCCCCCCCUUUUCCCCUUUUCCCCCCUUUUCCUCGUUAUCCCCCUUCCCCCUUUUUCCCCUUUCCCCUUUUCUUUUCCAUUUCCCCUUUCCCUUUCCCUUUCUCUUUACCCCCUUUCUCCUUUUCCCCCCUUCCCCCCUUCCCCCCUUCCCCCUUCCCCCCUUUCCCCCUUUUCCUCCUUUUCCCCCUUUUCUCCUUUCCCUUUCCCUUUCUGUUUCCCUUUCCCCUUUCCCCCUUUCCCCUUUUCCCUUCCCCUUUCCCUUUUUCACUUUCCAUUUUUGCCUUCACUUUUCCCCAUUUCCCUUCUCCCUUCUCCCUUCCCCUUUCCCCUCUUUCCCCUCUUUCCCCCUUUUCCCCUUUCCCCUUUUCUCCUUUUCCCCCUUUCCCCGUUCCCCUUUUCCCCUUUCCCCUUUCCCUUUUUCCCCUUUCCUCUUUUUCUCCUUUUCCCCCUUUCCCCCCAUUUCUCCUUUCCCCUUUCCUUUUCCCCUUUCCCCUUUUCUUUUCCCUUUUCCCCUUUUCCCCUUUUCCCCUUUUCCCCUUUUCCCCUUUUCCCCUUUUCCCCUUUUCCCCUUUUCCAUUUCCCCUUCCUCUUUCAAUUUCCCUUUCCCCCUUUUCCCUUUUCUCCCUUUUCCCCUUUCCUGUUUUCCCCUUUCCUUUUUUCCCCUCCUUUUUCCCCCUUUCCCCCCUUUUCCCCUUUCCCCCCUUUCCCCCUUUUUCCCCCUUUCCCCUUUUCCCGCCCUGA
ensembl:lncRNA